rnacentral:rRNA from 1 species
GAUUCUCUUAGUAACGGCGAGUGAAAAGAGAAGAGUCCAGCGCCAAGUCUUGACGCCUCGAUGUGUUCAAGAGAUGCGGCGUUAAUGUGUUGGCGCAUCGUUCACCGUUCCACGUUUCAAGUUCCAUUGACAGGGACUUCCAGAGCGGGUGCUAGGCCCAUAGAGACGAGGAGCUGGUGUUCGCCGGCCAAUGCAUUCUAGAGUCAGGUUGCUUGAAAGUGCAGCUUAAAGUCGGUGGUAAACUCCAUCUAAGACUAAAUAUGACAGCGAGACCGAUAGCAAACAAGUACCGUGAGGGAAAGUUGCAAAGCACUUUGAAGAGAGAGUUCAACAGUACGUGAAACCACUGGGAGGCAAACAGAUGGAACCACGAAGUUUGCGCCCCGGGCGAUUCAAUCAUCGCCACCGGUUGGCAGCGYUGGUCACGGGUCUCUUUGGAGAUUGGACCAACGCGGUUUGAAACUGGUGGCGGUGGUGCAUUUCGUUUCGGGGAUGCUAAGCCACGUUCGACCAGAYAGUUGGGACGGCUGUAGGAUGGGGUUCGAGAAAGGUGCCCGUCACGUGCUUGCAUGUGACGGCGUUAUAGUCUCGGGCCGGCACCGUCGCCAAACAUACUGGUUGAUGCAAUUUCUCCGUUUGGAGUCAAACUGYGUCUGCCUCUGUUGGCUAGCAGGUGUUGAGGGGUGUUCUUUACGUAUCUUACGGUGCGAAAAGGCAUUCCGAAAAUGYCUGUUAGUGGAUGGUUGCGUGACGCAGUGGAACUGUGGCGCSAGUAGGUCGGUCUCCAUCUGACCCGUCUUGAAACACGGACCAAGGAGCCUAACAUGUACGCGAGUCGCUCGGUCUUGUAUAGGCCCGGGAGGCGCAAUGAAAGUGAAACUACGAGGCCGCAUCAGUGGUCGCAGUAGUGGCUCGCCCACUUCGUUUAUUGGCGAUCUGGCGAAGCUGGAGCGUAUAUGCUGGUACCCGAAAGAUGGUGAACUAUGCCUGGGCAAGACGAAGCCAGAGGAAACUCUGGUGGAGGUCUGUAGCGAUUCUGACGUGCAAAUCGAUCGUCAGACCUGGGUAUAGGGGCGAAAGACUAAUCGAACCAUCUAGUAGCUGGUUCCCUCCGAAGUUUCCCUCAGGAUAGCAGGCGCUUAUGGAACUCAGUCUCAUCCGGUAAAGCGAAUGAUUAGAGGUCUUGGGAUUGAAACGAUCUCAACCUAUUCUCAAACUUUAAAUGGGUGAGAUGGUUGACUUUCUUGAUUGAAGCCAACCAUUUGGAUGUGAGUGCCUAGUGGGCCAUUUUUGGUAAGCAGAACUGGCGCUGUGGGAUGAACCAAACGUCGAGAUAAGGUAUCAAACGCGUACGCUCAUCAGACCCCAUGAAAGGUGUUGGUUGCUAUAGACAGCAGGACGGUGGCCAUGGAAGUCGGAAUCC